rnacentral:rRNA from 1 species
AUUGAACGCUGGCGGCAGGCCUAACACAUGCAAGUCGAGCGGAUGAAGGGAGCUUGCUCCUGGAUUCAGCGGCGGACGGGUGAGUAAUGCCUAGGAAUCUGCCUGGUAGUGGGGGAUAACGUCCGGAAACGGGCGCUAAUACCGCAUACGUCCUGAGGGUGAAAGUGGGGGAUCUUCGGACCUCACGCUAUCAGAUGAGCCUAGGUCGGAUUAGCUAGUUGGUGGGGUAAAGGCCUACCAAGGCGACGAUCCGUAACUGGUCUGAGAGGAUGAUCAGUCACACUGGAACUGAGACACGGUCCAGACUCCUACGGGAGGCAGCAGUGGGGAAUAUUGGACAAUGGGCGAAAGCCUGAUCCAGCCAUGCCGCGUGUGUGAAGAAGGUCUUCGGAUUGUAAAGCACUUUAAGUUGGGAGGAAGGGCAGUAAGUUAAUACCUUGCGGUUUUGACGGUACCAAAAGAAUAAGCACCGGCUAACUACGUG